ACAUCUUUUUUCUCUCUAUCUCCACAACAAAACCUCAAUCUCCACCUCCCAAAAUCCAAACUCAUAAUAUUUAUCUCCCCUUACUACUCCAUCUCCUCCAUCACCACCACCACAACUACCAUCUUCCACCACCAUAAAAUCUAUCACCACCACCAUAAACUCCAUCACUACCACUCAAAAUUAGCGAAAGAAGCAUCAUAUCUUCAUCACCAUUCCAUUCAUCAUCAACAUCAACAAGUUUAUAAUCCAUUCAUUCCACCAUCAAGGAGAAUCUAAGGGCAUUGAAGGAGGAAAAUCAUGGAGGAGCUAGUCAUCAAUUUGUCAAGCUUCAACUAAGUGAGGGAACUAUGAAUAAUUGACAAGUUCCACUUGGCACAAUACCAUUGGCAACAAUUGACAAGUUCAACAAAAUUCAGCCCCACAAUUAAGGCAUAUCCGGCGAAGUUGGAAGAAGCGAUAGAGUGAGUUUGAUUGGUGCAGUGAGCUUCACUGGUAUUGUUGGUAUUCAUUGCUGGAGCUAGAUUGUGGGAGAGGAGAGGCAACAGCCAAUACACCCAAGCAGAUAUUGAUCAAGUGCGAAAUGAGUUGGGGAAGUUUGUUGUCAACACAUGUGCAUGAGUCAUGAAGUAGCACGCAUGUUGUUGGUACAUUUUCUAUAAGGAAAGCAUCUUUUUUGUGCUUCUUUGCUGGUACAUUGUCAUGCAUCAUGUGUGGCAUAUUUUGGAACAAUAUAUAUGUGUAUAAGCUUUUUGAUAUCCCAAGUAGAUGGGUAUGCACUAGAAUGCUUUUCUUGUU